AUGUCAGAAGAUACCUUUUGGUUAUUUGCUUGUAUCUUUCCCAAGCUUCAUAGAAGGAUUCACCUUCCUUCUGUUUGAAGGUUUGGACUUCCACUCUAAGCUU